rnacentral:rRNA from 1 species
GAUGAACGCUGGCGGCGUGCUUAACACAUGCAAGUCGAACGGAAAGGCCCAAGCUUGCUUGGGUACUCGAGUGGCGAACGGGUGAGUAACACGUGGGUGAUCUGCCCUGCACUUCGGGAUAAGCCUGGGAAACUGGGUCUAAUACCGGAUAGGACCACUUCUUGGAUGUGGUGGUGGAAAGUUUUUUCGGUGUGGGAUGAGCUCGCGGCCUAUCAGCUUGUUGGUGGGGUAAUGGCCUACCAAGGCGUCGACGGGUAGCCGGCCUGAGAGGGUGUACGGCCACAUUGGGACUGAGAUACGGCCCAGACUCCUACGGGAGGCAGCAGUGGGGAAUAUUGCACAAUGGGCGCCAGCCUGAUGCAGCGACGCCGCGUGGGGGAGGACGGCCUUCGGUUUGUAAACUCCUUUCGCUAGGGACGAAGCGUUUUGUGACGGUACCUGGAGAAGAAGCACCGGCUAACUACGUG